rnacentral:lncRNA from 12 species
GGAAACUCCAAGGUGCACUAAAAGAAAACAUUACAGCAGUGUGUCAGGAACUCCAAUCCUUUCUGCUGUGCAGAGCAGCUCAGCCUCUGUUGACAGGCUUUGUGCAUCUCAGAGAAGAGGAAGGUACCUGAGGAACCAAAACGACAGAGAACCCAAACCCUCAGUUUAACCUUUAAGAGGAUGAAUCACUGCCCGUAAUCAGUCAAGAAGCUUUUGGUGUAUUUUCAUUUCACCUUGUGUUCUGCCUGUUUUUGACCAUGUAAACUAAAUGACUCCAAGCCCAGACUGCAGUGUUUCCAAC